rnacentral:rRNA from 1 species
AUUGAACGCUGGCGGCAGGCUUAACACAUGCAAGUCGAGCGGGGUGAUGGUGCUUGCACUAUCACUUAGCGGCGGACGGGUGAGUAAUGCUUAGGAAUCUGCCUAUUAGUGGGGGACAACAUCUCGAAAGGGAUGCUAAUACCGCAUACGUCCUACGGGAGAAAGCAGGGGAUCACUUGUGACCUUGCGCUAAUAGAUGAGCCUAAGUCGGAUUAGCUAGUUGGUGGGGUAAAGGCCUACCAAGGCGACGAUCUGUAGCGGGUCUGAGAGGAUGAUCCGAACACUGGGACUGAGACACGGCCCAGACUCCUACGGGAGGCAGCAGUGGGGAAUAUUGAACAAUGGGGGGAACCCUGAUCCAGCCAUGCCGCGUGUGUGAAGAAGGCCUUAUGGUUGUAAAGCACUUUAAGCGAGGAGGAGGCUCUUUUGGUUAAUACCCAAGAUGAGUGGACGUUACUCGCAGAAUAAGCACCGGCUAACUCUGUGCCAGCCGCCGCGGUAA